GUAAAUAUAGUUUAUAAAAACAUUAGACUGUGAAUCUAAAAUUAGGGUGCUUUAACACCUUUAUUUACC
rnacentral:tRNA from 1 species